rnacentral:sRNA from 12 species
UUGCGCGAGGGAUGGCAGCGGCAUCCUUUUGUGAGGAACGAGCAAAAGAUACAGCGAACAGCCCGACCCUUG